rnacentral:lncRNA from 1 species
GAACUCGCCAGAAACGUUCGCUUUGAAGCUCUGCUCUGAGCUGGGACUCGGAGGAGAGUUUGUCACCACCAUCGCCUACAGCAUCCGCGGACAGCUCAGCUGGCAUCAGAGGACGUACGCCUUCAGUGAGAACCCAUUACCAACAGUGGAGAUUGCCAUUCGGAACACAGGUGAUGCCGAUCAGUGGUGCCCUCUGCUGGAGACCCUGACAGAUGCAGAGAUGGAGAAGAAAAUCAGAGAUCAGGACAGAAACACAAGGCGUAUGCGAAGACUUGCCAACACCGCCCCUGCCUGGUAAAGACAGGACGUUAUUGAUGCUGCCACUCAAUAAGCUCACAGUCUCUCGAAGGGCCUCAGGGUUGCUGGAGGCCUUUGCACAGAUCCACGCAGCUCUAGAUAACAUUCCUCCAGCCUUCUGACCUCCUCAACCCACACAGCAUUACACACUUUCUUAAUACCAGGCCUUUAAACACUGAUCUGGCAUCAGCCAGGCUUUACAGUGCUCACGGGGGCUGUUGUUCGGACGUCUUAGUAGAAUGCCUGUCAUUGCCGUUUCUCUGGUCUCCAGUUAUAGAGACAUCUGUAUAGUCUGGUUGUAAGAACAGGAUGUUGAGAACAUUUGUUUGAGUAUUGUGUUUUUUGUUAAAGGUGCUAAUGAGAACUAUGAACUUGACUUGCUUUUUUUUUUU